GACGAACGCUGGCGGCGUGCUUAACACAUGCAAGUCGAACGGAAAGGCCCUGCUUUUGUGGGGUGCUCGAGUGGCGAACGGGUGAGUAACACGUGAGUAACCUGCCCUUGACUUUGGGAUAACUUCAGGAAACUGGGGCUAAUACCGGAUAGGAGCUCCUGCUGCAUGGUGGGGGUUGGAAAGUUUCGGCGGUUGGGGAUGGAUUCGCGGCUUAUCAGCUUGUUGGUGGGGUAGUGGCUUACCAAGGGUUUGACGGGUAGCCGGCCUGAGAGGUUGACCGGCCACAUUGGGACUGAGAUACGGACCAGAAUCCUACGGGAGGCAGCAGGGGGGAAUAUUGCACAAUGGGGGGAAGCCUGUGGCAGCAACGCCGCGUGCGGGAUGACGGCCUUCGGGUUGUAAACCGCUGUCGCCUGUGACGAAGCGUGAGUGACGGUAAUGGGUAAAGAAGCACCGGCUAACUACGUG
rnacentral:rRNA from 1 species